AUUGAACGCUGGCGGCAUGCUUUACACAUGCAAGUCGAACGGUAACAGGCCGCAAGGUGCUGACGAGUGGCGAACGGGUGAGUAAUGCAUCGGAACGUGCCCAGUCGUGGGGGAUAACGCAGCGAAAGCUGUGCUAAUACCCCAUACGAUCUAGGGAUGAAAGCGGGGGACCGUAAGGCCUCGCGCGAUUGGAGCGGCCGAUGUCAGAUUAGGUAGUUGGUGGGGUAAAGGCCUACCAAGCCGACGAUCUGUAGCUGGUCUGAGGGGACGACCAGCCACACUGGGACUGAGACACGGCCCAGACUCCUACGGGAGGCAGCAGUGGGGAAUUUUGGACAAUGGGCGCAAGCCUGAUCCAGCAAUGCCGCGUGCAGGAAGAAGGCCUUCGGGUUGUAAACUGCUUUUGUACGGAACGAAACGGUCUGGGUUAAUACCCUGGGCUAAUGACGGUACCGUAAGAAUAAGCACCGGCUAACUACGUGCCAGCAGCCGCCGCGGUAA
rnacentral:rRNA from 1 species